AAAGAUGAUAUUGUAUGGGCCUUUGAUUCCAAGGGAAAAUACACAACUAAAUCUCUAUAUGCUUAUUUAGAGAGAGGCCUGGCUGGGUGUGACUACAGAUGGAUCAAGGCUAAAUUGCCUGUCAAAAUCCAGAUCUUCCUCUGGCAACUCUUUCAAGAUGCUAUCUUGACUCGAGAUGUUAUGAAACGUAGAAAUUGGGCUGGCAAUCCUCGCUUUUCAUUUUGUGACUGUACAGAAACAUAUCUACAUUUGUUCUUUCUUCGUCAUGUGGCAAGGAUAGCCUGGAACACAGUUGGGGCAUUGCUUGCACUGAUCUUAGCCCUAACAAUUUGUGUCGGUUUUAUUCUUGGUGCUAUGUGUUCCUCCCUCAGGGGGAGCGAUAUUUCACGAUAG
rnacentral:rRNA from 1 species